UGCUGACCGGGUGUCUGCACUAAGUUUGGCAUCAAUAUGGUGACCUCCUGGGCUAGGGGGCCAACAGGUUGCCUAAGGAUGGGUGAACUGGCCCAGGUCAGAAACGGAGUAGGUCAGAGCUCCUGCACCGACUGGUAGUGGGACUGUGCCUGCGCA
rfam:Gorilla gorilla gorilla genomic chromosome, chr10, whole genome shotgun sequence